GUGGCUCUUGAUUGGCUUUGACUCAUGCCUAUGAGACUGUGAGGAUCUCGUUUCCCUAGUAACGGAUUGGCACUGAGAGCCACCAAUUACUUAAAAGGACGGCGGAAAAGAGGGUGGGAAGUUCUUUGACCGAUAUUCAUGGUAGCCAAUAAGUGUGCGAGGCGGCUCCCAUUCGUUAAAAUGUGUUCCCUUGGGCGGAGAUCCGUUUUCCAUACAGGAGCGGUUGCUCCACAAGGUGGGGCCCGUGUACUUUGGGGAAGUAAACCCCAAGCAACUAGGAGGUGGGCGCCAGGGAGGCCAAGGGAGCCCCCGGCCAAUGGCAAAGCGAGAAGGAUCUGAUUGACGCGGGGGUUGGACUGCGCCAAGGAGACCGAGCCCCAGGGCCGCCGUGCCCUCUGGGGAUGUUCAGAGGUUCCUCUGGCCCGGGCUUCCGUCCUCUUUCCUUUCUUUCCCUCACUUGUUGGGUCUAGGCCCUGAGGCCUUUCUCCCACCUUUUCUGCAGCUCGGUACCCGGGAAACCAAGUACGAAAGUUCCCGUUUGUUUGUUGUUUUUUUUUUUUUUCUUUCUGUAGCAACUUUUUUAUUUCCACGCGGCCACCUAAGAGCACUUGCUGGCUCUCACCAUUAGUCAGCACUCUUGUGGGACGACAGUUUAGGAGCAAGCGAGAGGGGAGAGUAGCGCCGUCGUGUACCUGCGAUCGCGUACAAAGGCGGCACGGGGAAGGUGCGGUUGAGUUUGAGAACGCGGAACUCGACCCUGCUGUUCGCGGCCGACGGCCGGCUGGUGGGAGCCCGCUGAGCUCUUUCCCGUCUGUUGCUGCCAAGGAACCGUAGCCUGUGAGGUCUCCGCUCCGGUUGGUCCUUCAUGCAACAUCCCGUGCGUCUCCACCAUUGCCAUGCAGUGUUCGAGUAGCUCGGGGUGUGGGGGCUGCUUUCGCGCCGCUGCGUCUUUAAAAGGUCAAUUUGUCAAACUCCUACUCGGACGCCGCAAAGGUUUCCCGGAGCACUUCAGGGGUUGAGUGGCGCUCCAGCCCGGUCCUGUCCACGUCUCUCUGUUUUACUGGGCCCUCUGUUGGUCACCGCGAGCGUUUUGGAAGGAAAUGGUCGAUUCUCAUUCCAGGCAUGAAAUGAAACAGGUAUGGAGCUGUAUGGAACUGCUCUCACAGUGGACUGUCAAGCAACCGUAGAGAAAAUGAGGUGGAUCUAUGCGUAGCUACAGAGCGAUCUGCAAAGUGCAAAAUCAUGGAAAGAGUAAAAAGGGGGAAGAAGAAUAUAGCCCCGAGUAAGAAAAGGGGUUUGGCCUCCUCAGAAAUCCCUGAAAGGCUGGAAUAGUCCUUCAUGUCCUCAAACAUGCCAUCAGGGAAAGAAACUGAGGUUCAGAGAGGUUUAUUGCCCAGAACAGCCAGGAACUGAACACAGGUGCCUGGCAAGAUUAUUCUGUCCCGCCCCCUUAGAGACAGGCAUGACCACAUGCCCUACUUUGGCCAACACAACGUGAGCAGAAGUGACACAUAUCUUUUCCAGGAAGAAAGGUCUUUGGAGCCAGUGAUUAUUUGCUGAGGUCUUCCCUCCCCACACUAGCCCCCAUAUUCAAUAUCAUUCUGUUCAGAGAAUCUCCCUCAACCUGGGUCCCUGAGGAAAAAUCAUUUGCACAGAAACAAUCCUCCAAACUGCCCAACCUGCAAUGGUCAUAUGACAUAAACAAGGUGGAGAAAUAUGUUGUUUUAAGCCUUUGAGGUUUUGUGAUGGUUUGUUGCAAUAGCCUUAACUGGCCUUUCUUGCCAGUUACAGAUAAAUUUCCAGAUCUACCAGUGUUUCAGCAGAUACUCAAAAUCUGGAUUACUCACUGUUCUUUCUUAACAUUUUAUUAAUGGUAUAAAAGUGUUUGGUCCUCACUUUUUUUUUUUUUUUAAUUUAUUGAUUUAUUGGGUGCCUGUGUGGCUCAGUGCCUUAAAGCCUCUGCCUUCGGCCCAGGUCGUGAUACCAGGGUUCUGGGAUCAAGCCCCGCAUCGGGCUUUCUGCUCAGCGGGGAGCCUGCUUCCCCCUCUCUCUCUGCCUGCCUCUCUGCCUACUUGUGAUCUCUGUCUGUCAAAUAAAUAAAAUCUUAAAAAAAAA